UACGUAGGGUGCAAGCGUUGUCCGGAAUUAUUGGGCGUAAAGAGCUCGUAGGCGGUUUGUUGCGUCGAAUGUGAAAACCCGGGGCUCAACCCCGGGCCUGCAUUCGAUACGGGCAGACUAGAGUUCGGUAGGGGAGUCUGGAAUUCCUGGGUGUAGCGGUGAAAUGCGCAGAUAUCAGGAGGAACACCGGUGGCGAAGGCGGGACUCUGGGCCGAUACUGACGCUGAGGAGCGAAAGCGUGGGGAGCAAACAGG
rnacentral:rRNA from 1 species